GCAGAAGCACGGCCUGGAUGUUAGGAAGGACGCCGCCCUGAGCAAUGGUCACCCGGCCUAGCAGUUUGUUGAGCUCCUCGUCGUUGCGGAUGGCCAGCUGCAAGUGGCGCGGGAUGAUGCGAGUCUUCUUGUUGUCGCGAGCCGCGUUGCCGGCCAGCUCCAGGAUCUCGGCGGUCAGGUACUCUAACACCGCCGCCAGGUACACCGGCGCGCCUGCCCCAACCCGCUCUGCGUAGUUGCCUUUGCGGAGCAGGCGGUGCACUCGGCCCACCGGGAACUGGAGACCAGCGCGAGAAGAGCGGGAUUUCGCUUUGGCGCGAGCUUUGCCUCCCUGCUUACCACGUCCAGACAUUGCAAUCAGACAAAAUUACCAAAACCAGCGGCCUAAGCUCACGAGAAAACAAACAAAAUCAAGAAAUAUGUAAAACAUGGCUGCUUUUAUAGGUAGUUCCUGGGGAGUAAAUCCGACUUUUUGAUUGGUCGGUAGCAAAUGCUAGUCAGAUAGCCAAUAGAAAAGCUGUACUUUCAUACCUCAUUUGCAUAGCUCUGCCCACGGAUGACAACUCUGCAGUUUGUCUUCCAAUUAACUAAGAGGUACUCUCCAUCCCUCAUUAGCAUAAAAGCCCUAUAAGUAGCAGAAAUCUGCUCUUUACUUUCGACACAUUUCUGGUGUUUUAAGAUGCCUGAGCCAGCCAAGUCUGCUCCCGCCCCGAAGAAGGGCUCCAAGAAGGCGGUGACCAAAGCGCAGAAGAAAGAUGGCAAGAAGCGCAAGCGCAGCCGCAAGGAGAGUUACUCUGUGUACGUGUACAAGGUGCUGAAGCAGGUCCAUCCCGACACUGGCAUCUCUUCUAAGGCCAUGGGCAUCAUGAAUUCUUUCGUUAACGACAUAUUUGAGCGCAUCGCGGGCGAGGCUUCCCGCCUGGCGCAUUACAACAAGCGCUCGACCAUCACCUCCAGGGAGAUCCAGACGGCCGUGCGCCUGCUGCUUCCCGGAGAGCUGGCCAAGCACGCUGUGUCGGAGGGCACCAAGGCGGUCACCAAGUACACCAGCUCCAAGUAAACAUUCCAAGCUGGAGUGCAAUGGCGCGAUCUUGGCUCACAGCAACCUCCGCCUCCCGGGUUCAAGCCAUUCUCCUGCCUCAGCCUCCGGAGUAGCUGGGAUUACAGGCAUGCGCCACGACACCCUGGCUAAUUUUGUAUUUUCAGUAGAGACGAGGUUUCUCCAUGUCGGUCAGGCUGGUCUCGAACUCCGGACAUCAGGGGGAGACAACAGCUUUUAGACAUAUCUUUUCCAACAGUCGUCACUGCUGGACACUGUUUCAUCUUGCAAAUAAACCAAUGAAAAUGAGUGAUCCUAGAAGAAGAUAAAUGGAGGUAUUUUGAACAAUCAAAGAAGGACAAAUGAACACCUGGCUGAGAAAAAUUAGCUCUUUUUUUCUAUGCAUAAAACUAUUAAAAUAUUCUUCAUAGAAGUUUAUGACACGGGAAACAUAAAGACAAAAUUAAAAUAACUCCUAGUAUCUCCUAUUCUUUUUAUAUGUAUAUCAUAUAUACUCAUUCAUAUAUACAUAUAUCUCACAUCAUGUAUCAUAUAUAAAAUAAAUUUAGGUGUCAUGAUAUAUAUUUAGAUAAAUAUACUUAGAAACUUUUUUAUGGAUGUAUAAUUUAUGGAUGUAUUGAUAAUUAUGUAUUUGUUAUUGACUACUUCAAUUGAUUCCCAUUUUUAUGCAUUACAUUAUAGAUUAUAUAGCUCACACAUCUUUGUACAUAAAUCUUUGUUCAAAUAUUAUUUCCUAAGGAUAGACUUCAUGAAGUGGAAAUACUAAAUCAAAAGUGAAAAACAUUUUCUAAGGUUCUUAACAUAUACAUUGCCAAAUUGCUAUUCAGGAUCAUACCAAUUUAUAAUCCCAACAUAAUAUGGAAAUUCCUGUUUUAUAGCACUCAUAUUUACAAUAAAUUUUAAAAAUCAUUGUUAACCUAAUAGUCCCUCAAAAGAAAAAAAAAUUGAAAUUACAUUAUUUUAAUGACUCUAUUAGUGAGGGUCAUUCUUCCCAUGUUUCUUGUUAGCCAUGACCCUAUAAGAAAUAAACUGCACUGCAAAAUGAUAAACAUGAUAUCAAUCAUUACACGGGAAGGCACUAUAUAAAGAAUAAUACCUUAGGUUAAGGCCACAUAAAUAUUUAUCAGGUGCCUUUUCUGCGGAGGACUCUGAAGGGAUACUAAACUGCAUUUAGCUGCAUGCAACUGAAACUACUUUUACCUACAUUGUCUCUUAUAAACAUUAUAACUACUCUUUGAGAAAGUGUUUACUAUGGACUGAAUUGUCUCCCCAUCCCCCCAAAUUCAUAUAUUGAAGCCAUAAACCCCAAUAUGACUCUAUUCCUAGACAGGACUUACAAGAGGUAAUUAAGGUUAAAUGAGGUCAUUAGGAUGGGUUCCUAACUGGAUAGGAUUGGUGGCCUUAUAAGAAGAGGAAGAUUCUGCACUUGGUCUUCCAAAUUAAAUAAUUUAUUUAAAAGAAAAAAAAAAAGAGGAAGAGAGGGAGCUCUGCACAUAUACUGAGGAAAGGCUAUGUGAGCUCUCACAGUGAGAAGGUAGCACUCUACAAGCCAGCAAGAGAGCCCUCACCAGAAUCCAGCCAUGCUAUACCCUGCUCUGAGACUUCCAGCCUCCAGAACUGUGAUAAAAUUUUGUUGUUUAAACCACACAAUCUAUGGUAUUUUGUUAUGGCAGCCCAAGCCAACAAAGACAGCAUCAUUGCUGUCACUUACAGACAAGAAAACUAAGACUAGGAGAGAGAAAAGUUAAACUUGUCCAAGGUCACAAAAGCCAGAAACAAGUGAGGUGAGAAGUUGACCUUGUUCUCCUCAAUCCAAGGCCAGGACUCCUCCACUCCACAUGUAGAUAGCCACCUCACAGUCAACAGCCAAAUGUCCACACCCCAGAGUCAGCAUUAGACCAAGAUGUCUUACCAGGAGACAAAUGCCUCAUCUUGAAUAAAUAUGUUCUAACAACUUACCCAUGUAAAACAUUGAAUCUCAUGAAAAACAAAAAUGCAAAGUAUGUAGAAAACUAUGUUUACCACUUAACUGACAGUGAUACAAAGCUUAAUGAUAUCCUUAUAAUCUUGGAGGGGUUUGUAUAUGUGGUGAAACAGGUGCUCAUGCACUGCUGAUAGACUGUAAAUUGGUCCUAGAGAGAAAAAUAAACUGGAAGGAGAUA